rnacentral:lncRNA from 1 species
AUUAUAUAUCUUUACGUGAAACCGACAGAACACUCAUUACACUUUUUGUGAGCUCAUUUACUUCACUUAUAAUGAACAUGGCCAUGGAAAUGCUAGUGGAGAAAGUGGUCGAUUUUCUGAUGGAUGUGAUAAAAAAAUGGUUUGCCGACCAAUUAAUGACAUAUGUCUCAAAACUAGUAACGAGACCCUUAAUCGCUGGGUUGAAGUUUCUAAUCAAGAAGAUGCUCAUCUAUGUAUUCAACAAAGCAGCUUCCCUUGCUUCUGAAAUGCUUCCAAACAACAUCUCAUAUUUCCUGAAGAAGAUAAUGCCUGGACAAGCAGCACAAGUCAUUCAGGAGGAAGAGGGUAAUCUGGAAGAGUUUCCUGACCUACUCUGCUGCUGUGAUUAAACAACCACCAGGAAAUUUUGAUGACACUGUUCUCCUGAGCUCCUCCCUUUCCUCGGGGAAGAAAAGCAUUGAAACUACAAAAAUAAAGUGUUAUUUGGCUGGAGUGAGGUCUCAUGUCUGCUUAUGCGGUGGCUCGCUGCUCAGAACAGGAUGGAGUCUUGCUCUGCCGCCCAGACUGGAGUGCAAUGGCGCAAUCUCGGCUCACUGCAACAUUUGCCUCCCAGGAACCAUUGGAGAUACUCAUUACUCUUUGAAGGCUUACAGUGGAAUGAAUUCAAAUACGACUUAUUUGAGGAAUUGAAGUUGACUUUAUGGAGCUGAUAAGAAUCUUCUUGGAGAAAAAAAGACUGGUACUUCUGAAUUAACCAAAAUCACAGUAUUCUGAAGAUGAUUCUACAAAGCCUGCUGUUUCUACAAAGGCUGCUGAUGAUUUCUACAAAGCCUGCUGUAGUGUUGCUGUGGCCUCUGCUUAAAAAAGUAGAAAACACAUUGAUGCAGCAUGUUCACCCCAACCUCCCUGCCUAAAGGCUCAGGGACCAUCUUGGAAGAGGAAGGCGCGUGAGAUUGUAAGAGCCGAAUUAGGGGGAUGGAGUGUGGAGAAUAAGGACACUUCAUCUUGGAUGCUCACCUGCCAAAUUGACUUCUGAUGAAAGCCAGCUCCAGAAAUGUGCCUACAGUUACUACUUUCACCUAAACCCUGCCCUUAGUCAAAUCCUUCUCUUCUUCUAAGCAAUCAACUUCAAUUCCUUGUAUAACCCACAGUAUAAAAGGGCUUUUAUACCAUUCUAUCCUAUUGCAUGUAAGCCUUGGGUCUGGGAGGUAACAGUGUGGGAUUCCACCAUCUCAUCUCCCUGCCACCCAAACAUGCCUGCUCUUCUUUAAGCAAUAUUAAAUGUUU